rnacentral:rRNA from 1 species
CCUACGGGAGGCAGCAGUGGGGAAUAUUGGACAAUGGGCGAAAGCCUGAUCCAGCAAUGCCGCGUGUGUGAAGAAGGCCUUCGGGUUGUAAAGCACUUUAGGCUGGAAAGAAAAAACUUGGGUUAAUACCUUAAGUCUUGACGGUACCAGCAGAAUAAGCACCGGCUAACUCUGUGCCAGCAGCCGCGGUAAUACAGAGGGUGCAAGCGUUAAUCGGAUUUACUGGGCGUAAAGCGUGCGUAGGUGGCUUUUUAAGUCGGAUGUGAAAGCCCUGGGCUUAACCUGGGAACUGCAUUCGAUACUGGGAGGCUAGAGAUCGGUAGAGGGCAGCGGAACUCCGGGUGUAGCGGUGAAAUGCGUAGAUAUCCGGAGGAACACCGAUGGCGAAGGCAACUGCCUGGGCCUGAUCUGACACUGAGGCACGAAAGCGUGGGUAGCAAACAGGAUUAGAUACCCUGGUAGUCCACGCUGUAAACGAUGAGAACUUGACGUCUGCUUGNUNUGNGAGUAGGUGUGUGCGUACGACGAGUAAGUUACGUUCCGCCGUCGGGUAAGGUACGGGUCCGGCGACGGUUAGGUUAAACGUUACGAAGGAAGUUAGUUACGGCGUUGGAGACGCGCCGACGGACGACGACGAGGGAGGAGG